AUGACUGUAAUCAGAUCUGACCCCACGAGGGCUUCGUCUGCGAGUAGUGUUUGGAGCACCUAUCCCCCUCCCACGUCCUCACCCACACGCCACUUACGAGGAAGGUUGAGGGGGUGGAGGAAUAGGAUGAAAGGGGUGGGGGACGCCACAGUCUCGCUCGUUUGAAAGCCUUGAACUCGUCCAAGAGGACUGCUGCAUGUGGCGGAGGACGUGCCUUCAAAGCUUCCACAUGCAACUUCCUGCGCCACCUGCGUCUGCUGCCCAAGGGCGGAGCUCAGGCUUGGGGCGUGCUAGCAGGCAGUGACCGUCAGGAUGGUUGUCAUCCCACUCGCCCCACGGUGGCACGGCAAUGUCGACAGGACAGCUGAAACAAGAGACUAGCCCGCUUCCUUCUCCUUCGUCCUAGAGGAAGGAAAGUGAGCACAGACGAGUGCUCUGCGCCCAGAGAUUCUAAAGGGAGUGAAGCAGUGAGGUGUUCCGACAAAGGAUAGAAGUCCUCAGGCGUCCAGAAGAAAAUGCUAGAAGUCAACGGUCGAGCUUCGUCGAAACACCGACAAGGAAGACAAACGGCUACGAAACAGCUCAACCAGCGGUCAACCAUCAGCCCACCGGAACAGGACACACAGCCCACCGCAACAGGACGCAGCAUCCAUCAGCCCACCGCAACAGGAUGCAGAUUUAUAUAUGAACAUACCAUAACAAUGUGUCUCAGUGUCUUGUCCUGUGGGAGUGCUCAACGCUAAAGUACAAUCUUUUCCUGCUAGCCGAUAGAAAAUUGGGAAGAGUUCUGUGAAAAAUUUUUAAAAAAAAUUAAUUUAAAAACAGGACAACUGUAGUAUCACUGAUUUGACAACGGAUCACAGAAAACUGAGGCAACGCAGCUGUCAUGGUCUCAUACCAUGGCGACGUAGAAAUUUGGGAGAAAACUCCGUCUAUAUGCGAUCGACCAUGAAGUAUAAACAAUUCUGUAAAAUACAUUCUUACCUUUCGCAUUCUAACGUUAGAAAUGCGACAUCAAUAGAAGUGACAUGCAUCAGGCUUGUGGAUCGAGAAACAAACUGUAGACGGUAGUUUUCAAGGACUAGUUUGGUCCAUUUAAAAAACAAAUAAUAAAGUAAAUCUUAGAA